AGAGUUUGAUCAUGGCUCAGGAUGAACGCUGGCGGCGUGCUUAACACAUGCAAGUCGAACGUGAAAUGUCGAUUGAAUACUUCGGUAGGAUUUCGGUGUGGAAAGUGGCGAACGGGUGAGUAACACGUAGGUGACCUGCCUCGAAGUGGGGGACAACCAUUGGAAACGAUGGCUAAUACCGCAUAGUUCUGUUGGUCUGGGAAGGCCGAUAGAUAAAGCCUUCGGGCGCUUUGAGAGGGGCCUGCGGUCGAUUAGCUAGUUGGUGGGGUAAUGGCCUACCAAGGCGACGAUCGAUAGCUGGUCUGAGAGGACGAUCAGCCACAUGGGAACUGAGACACGGUCCCAACUCCUACGGGGGGCAGCAGUGAGGAAUAUUGCACAAUGGGGGAAACCCUGAUGCAGCAACGCCGCGUGGAGGAUGAAGGUUUUUGGAUUGUAAACUCCUUUUCUGAGGGAAGAGUAAGGACGGUACCUCA
rnacentral:rRNA from 1 species